UACGUAGGUGGCGAGCGUUGUCCGGAUUUAUUGGGCGUAAAGGGCGCGCAGGUGGUGCGGUAAGGCUGCCGUGAAAUCUCCCGGCUCAACUGGGAGGGUGCGGUGGCGACUGCCGGACUGGGGGCACUCAGAGGCCGGUGGAAUUCCCGGUGUAGUGGUGAAAUGCGUAGAGAUCGGGAGGAACACCAGUGGCGAAGGCGGCCGGCUGGGGGUGACCUGACGCUGAGGCGCGAAAGCUAGGGGAGCAAACAGG
rnacentral:rRNA from 1 species